rnacentral:rRNA from 1 species
UACGGAGGGGGUUAGCGUUGUUCGGAAUUACUGGGCGUAAAGCGCGCGUAGGCGGAUUAGAAAGUUGGGGGUGAAAUCCCGGGGCUCAACCCCGGAACGGCCUCCAAAACUAUCAGUCUAGAGUUCGAGAGAGGUGAGUGGAAUUCCGAGUGUAGAGGUGAAAUUCGUAGAUAUUCGGAGGAACACCAGUGGCGAAGGCGGCUCACUGGCUCGAUACUGACGCUGAGGUGCGAAAGCGUGGGGAGCAAACAGG